rnacentral:lncRNA from 1 species
AAAAUUUUGGUCCUGUUUGCAAUGCCAUAUCUGGCCUGAAGUUGGGACCAUAUAUUCUAUGCAGUAUCAGAAUACUGCACACUUUCAGCAAUUUGAGGGGAGAGGGAGGUAGUUAACCAGGAAAUCACCAUAUUAUUGCAUCUGUCCCAUAACCUUUGCUGAGUCACAUUAGUGACUGGCCGGGAACAUGUGCCAUCAACAAAACGAAUUUUGGUUUUAGCAGAUAACGCGACAAUCAUUUUCCUCCUCCAACCCCCAUAACCACUGCCGAGAAGGGAGUGGACACAAGAGAGACCCCAGGAACAUCAGAGGAGUAAACAAAAUGGGGGCUGGUAGAGUCCACUGAGGAGGUACUAGCAUUUGUAUUAGAAGCCAUGAUUAAUGAACCAGUUUGAAAAGAAAACAGUCUCGGUAAGCAAAAUAUAACGGAACCAAAGUUCACAUAUAAAGCAUACAAUACUCAAAAUAAGGACAGAGUUACCCUCCUUUUUCGCGACCGGAGAAGAUCGGCCUUCAAUCAACAGAUAAAACCCUAGGUCCAACACCGGAAACCGUAGGUUCUGAAACUCACCAGAAUAAGGUCACAGACGUCGGAAAGUUACCCAAAACGUCUAUCAUACCUUUAAUCAACAGAUAAAACCUUAGGUCCAACACCGGAAACCGUAGGUUCAGAAACUCACCAGAAUAAGAUCACAGACGUCGGAAAGUUACCCAAAACGUCUAUCAAGCGAAGACAAAGUCAUCG